rnacentral:rRNA from 1 species
GAUGAACGCUGGCGGCGUGCUUAACACAUGCAAGUCGAACGGAAAGGCCUCUGCUUGCAGGGGUACUCGAGUGGCGAACGGGUGAGUAACACGUGGGUGAUCUGCCCUGCACUUCGGGAUAAGCCUGGGAAACUGGGUCUAAUACCGGAUAGGACAAUGGUUUGGAUGCUGUUGUGGAAAGUUUUUCGGUGUGGGAUGAGCUCGCGGCCUAUCAGCUUGUUGGUGGGGUAAUGGCCUACCAAGGCGUCGACGGGUAGCCGGCCUGAGAGGGUGUACGGCCACAUUGGGACUGAGAUACGGCCCAGACUCCUACGGGAGGCAGCAGUGGGGAAUAUUGCACAAUGGGCGCAAGCCUGAUGCAGUGACGCCGCGUGGGGGAUGACGGCCUUCGGGUUGUAAACUCCUUUCGCUAGGGACGAAGCGUUUUUGUGACGGUACCUGGAGAAGAAGCACCGGCUAACUACGUG